UCUCGGCAAACAAACAAACAACGGUUUCAUUACUGCAGAUUUGGGCAGCGCUUUAGACUUUAAGAGUAAAAGCUUCUGGGAUCCGCAGAUUUCAUCACUUUAUGGCUGUUUGCGUGCAGAUGAAAAGGAAUAAUUUAAAGACUCCAGUUUGUUCUUGCGAGAAUCCUCGAGCCACAUCUGAAGAAACGCUAAAGCAAAUUACAAUUGAUCCCACAUGUCAGUCCAUACAGGUGUUCAGAUGUGCCUCUCGAGGGCUGUUCACCCCUCAUCGCUACAAACGGAGCACAAAUUGAGCAGGAUUCUCAAACAAAGCUGCCUUAUUUCUGAGGAUCUCUUCUGGCUUUCAGGUAAAGUUGGUCGCGUUCCCAAAGAGCGGAGCGAUCCGAGACUUCGCAGAGAAAAGAGUCUCUCUCUCCUGUCAGGAUCCGCCACCUGAGACGGAUUUCACUCGAUUCGCUCAUUCGCGCUGCGCAGACGGAGUGUAAAGGCACUUUAAAAGCUCAUCGGGUGAGUGCUGCACUUGUAGGAAAUACCUUAUUCAUGACGGAACAGC